GAUGAACGCUGGCGGCGUGCCUAAUACAUGCAAGUCGAGCGAACGGACGAGAAGCUUGCUUCUCUGAUGUUAGCGGCGGACGGGUGAGUAACACGUGGAUAACCUACCUAUAAGACUGGGAUAACUUCGGGAAACCGGAGCUAAUACCGGAUAAUAUUUUGAACCGCAUGGUUCAAAAGUGAAAGACGGUCUUGCUGUCACUUAUAGAUGGAUCCGCGCUGCAUUAGCUAGUUGGUAAGGUAACGGCUUACCAAGGCAACGAUGCAUAGCCGACCUGAGAGGGUGAUCGGCCACACUGGAACUGAGACAGGGUCCAGACUCCUACGGGAGGCAGCAGUAGGGAAUCUUCCGCGAUGGGCGAAAGCCUGACGGAGCAACGCCGCGUGAGUGAUGAAGGUCUUCGGAUCGUAGAACUCUGUUAUUGGGGAAGAACAUAUGUGUAAGUAACUGUGCACAUCUUGACGGUACCUAAUCAGAAAGCCACGGCUAACUACGUG
rnacentral:rRNA from 1 species